rnacentral:rRNA from 1 species
ACUCCUACGGGAGGCAGCAGUGGGAAUAUUGCACAAUGGGCGCAAGCCUGAUGCAGCCAUGCCGCGUGUAUGAAGAAGGCCUUCGGGUUGUAAAGUACUUUCAGCAGUGAGGAAGGUAGUGUAGUUAAUAGCUGCAUUAUUUGACGUUAGCUUGCCAGAAGAAGCACCGGCUAACUCCGUGCCAGCAGCCGCGGUAAUACGGAGGGUGCGAGCGUUAAUCGGAAUUACUGGGCGUAAAGCGCAUGCAGGUGGUUUGUUAAGUCAGAUGUGAAAGCCCGGGGCUCAACCUCGGAA